rnacentral:lncRNA from 1 species
GCCUGCCGACCCGGGUCCGGGGGCCCAGUUGGCGCCCGGACCAGCUCUCCGGUCUGCGUCCUGUAGAUGGGAAAACUGAGGCCUGAGAGGGCGCGAGGGCGGGGACGAGGCCGAGGACUCGGGUUCGAAUCUCGAGGACGCCAGUAGCCCGCUCUGAGGCCGCGUGGGGCUGGUGGAGGAGCCACCGGUCGGGCCCCCAAGACCGGCUGACGUGGGCCUCGCCUCGGGCGACUCCCGCCGGGCUAGUGGCUGGCCGUGUGGUGACCUUGGGCGAGUUACUUCGCACAGCCACCCAGGGGCCUCUUCUCCAACACGAUAGCACUGCACCCGGAGGGCCUUCAGACCUGAGCUGAAAUCUACACCACCGGCUCUCUGACUAUCAGGCUUUGGACUAUACUUUGGGCUUUCCUGGGUCUCUUACCUGGCAGACAGCAGAUUUUGGAACUUUUCAGCCUCCAUAAUCAUCAACUCUGUGAGGGAUUGUUAUCUCCAUUUUAUGGAUGAGGAAGCUGACUCUGAGAGAUGACUUUCCAAAUUCAUCCAACUGGAAGAAAAAGGAAGUCUCUGGGGACUUGAAUCCAGAACUGUCCAGCUCCAAGUCCAGGGCUCACUCUAUUAAGCCACUCCAUGAGGAAUGAGUCCCUAAGGAGGCCACAGAAGGCCCUAAGCCCUCUUUUGUUCUCUGGAAGAGAGUGCCAUUUCUUGGCCCUUCCCAAGGCCUUGACAACUGAAGUUCCCAGAAGAACCACAAAGCAUAAAUUUCCCCAAAAGGGGAAUUUUGUUGAUGGCUUUAGUCUAUUCCCUCCUAAAAGACCAGCUACAACCAAAUGAAGUGAACAUAACCUCAAGGGUGUAUUGUCUUCAUAAUAAAAGAUGAAGCUUAGAACUGGA